rnacentral:lncRNA from 13 species
AUGAUUAGUUAUACAAGACUGUGUGUGUCCGUUUGGUCUACUACUCAAGAAUUUCCCAACCCUGGUUCUCCAUCACCCCCAACAUCCUGGUCCUCCAUCACCCCCAACAUCCUGGUCCUUCAUUACCCCCAACAUCCUGGUCCUUCAUCACCCCCAACAUCCUGGUCCUCCAUCACCCCCAACAUCCUGGUCCUCCAUCACCCCCAACAUCCUGGUCCUCCAUCACCCCCAACACCCUGGUCCUCCAUCACCCAGGUAAACAGGUAAAUAAACAAUAAUAAAAUGUACAGUAAACAUUACACCCCAAAAAAAUAAAGACGUUUCAAAUGACAUUUUAUGUGCAAAUAGUUCAAGUACAAAAGGGAAAAUAAAUAAGCAUAAAUAUGGGUUGUAUUUACAAUGGUGUUUGUUUUAAAUUUGUUUCCCUUUUCUCGUGGCAACAGGUCACAAAUCUUGCUGCUGUGAUGGCACACUGUGGAAUUUCACCCAGUAGAUAUGGGAGUUUAUCAAAAUUGGAUUUGUUUUCGAAUUUGUUGUGGGUCUGUGUAAUCUGAGGGAAAUAUGUGUCUCUAAUAUGGUCAUACAUUUGGCAGGAGGUUAGGAAGUGCAGCUCAGUUUCCACCUCAUUUUGUGGGCAGUGAGCACAUAGCCUGUCUUCUCUUGAGAGCCAUGUCUGCCUACGGUGGCCUUUCUCAAUAACAAGGUUAUGCUCAUAGUCCAAUUUUUUCUUAAGUUUGUGUCAGUCACAGUGGUCAGGUAUUCUGCCGCUGUGUACUCUCUGUUUAUGGCCAAAUAGCAUUCUAGUUUGCUCUGUUUUUUUUGUUAAUUCUUUCCAAUGUGUCAAGUAAUUAUCUUUUUGUUUUCUCAUGAUUUGGUUGGGUCUAAUUGUGCUGCUGUCCUGGGGCUCUGUAGGGUGUGUUUGUGUUUGUGAACAGAGCCCCAGGACCAGCUUGCUUAGGGGACUCUUCUCCAGGUUCAUCUCUCUGUAGGUGAUGGCUUUGUUAUGGAAGGUUUGGGAAUCGCUUCCUUUUAGGUGGUUGUAGAAUUUAACGUCUCUUUUCUGGAUUUUGAUCAUUAGUGGGUAUCGGCCUAAUUCUGCUCUGCAGGCAUUAUUUGGUGUUUUAUGUUGUACACAGAGGAUAUUUUUGCAGAAUUCUGCGUGCAGAGUCUCAAUUUGGUGUUUGUCCCAUUUUGAUAAUUAUUGGUUGGUGAGUGGACCCCAGACCUCACAACCACGUGGGUUCUAUAACUGAUUCAAGUAUUUUUAGCCAGAUCCUAAUUGGUAUGUCGAAUGUUUCUUUUGAUGGCAUAGAAUGCCCUUCUUGCCUUUUCUCUCAGAUCAUUCACAGCUUUGU